GCCCAAGGAUGGGACUGCGGCCUAUCAGGCUGUUGGUGGUGUGACGGACCACCAAACCUACGACGGGUACGGGCGAUGGGAGUCGGAGCCCGGAGAUGGGGACUGAGACAAGGCCCCAGGCCCUACGGGGCGCAGCAGGCGCGAAAACUCCGCAAUGCGUGCAAGCGUGACGGGGGGACCCCAAGUGCCGUUGGUCUUUUGAUCGACGGCUUUUCGGAAGUCCAAGAAGCUUCCGGAAUAAGGGCUGGGUAAGACUGGUGCCAGCCGCCGCGGUAACACCAGCAGCCCAAGUGGUGGCCACGAUUAUUGGGCCUAAAGCGCUCGUAGCCGGGCCAGCAAGUCCCUUGUGAAAUCGGGCCGCCUAACGGUUCGGCGUGCAAGGGAUACUGUUGGUCUUGAGGCCGGGAGAGGUCGGAGGUACUCCUGGGGUAGCGGUGAAAUGCUCUAAUCCUGGGGGGACCACCAGUGGCGAAGGCGUCCGACCAGAACGGACCUGACGGUGAGGGGCGAAGGCUAGGGGAGCGAACGGGAUUAGAUACCCCGGUAGUCCUAGCUGUAAAGCAUGCGGGCCAGGUGUCUAGCGCUCCUUGAGGGCGCUAGGUGCCGGAGGGAAGCCGUUAAGCCCGCCGCCUGGGAAGUACGGCCGCAAGGCUGAAACUUAAAGAAAUUGGCGGGGGAGCACCACA
rnacentral:rRNA from 1 species